rnacentral:rRNA from 1 species
UACAGAGGAUGGAAGCGUUAUCCGGAAUGAUUGGGCGUAAAGCGUCUGUAGGUGGCUUUUUAAGUCCGCCGUCAAAUCCCAGGGCUCAACUCUGGACAGGCGGUGGAAACUACCAAGCUGGAGUACGGUAGGGGCAGAGGGAAUUUCCGGUGGAGCGGUGAAAUGCGUAGAGAUCGGAAAGAACACCAGUGGCGAAGGCGACUUACUGGACUGUAACUGACGCUGAGGCAUGAAAGCGUGGGGAGCAAACAGG